GAUGAACGCUAGCUACAGGCUUAACACAUGCAAGUCGAGGGGCAGCGGGAUUGAAGCUUGCUUCAAUUGCCGGCGACCGGCGCACGGGUGAGUAACGCGUGGGUAACCUGCCUCACACUGGGGGACAACAGUUAGAAAUGACUGCUAAUACCGCAUAAGCGCACAGGACCGCAUGGUCCGGUGUGAAAAACUCCGGUGGUGUGAGAUGGACCCGCGUUUGAUUAGCUGGUUGUGGGGUAACGGCCGUACCAAGGCGACGAUCAAUAGCCGACCUGAGAGGAAGGCCCCCCGACAUUGGAACUGAGACACGGUCCAAACUCCUACGGGAGGCAGCAGUNAGGAUAUUGGUCAAAUGGACGAGAGUCUGAACC
rnacentral:rRNA from 1 species